AAGUCGUAACAAGGUUUCCGUAGGUGAACCUGCGGAAGGAUCAUUAAAAGAAGUUUUCUACUUCGGUAGAAAUUUCCAACCCUUGUCUAUACAAAAAACAAAAAUCGUUGCUUCGGUGGGCUUGAAAAAAGGGAAAAGACCUUGAAGUUUAUUCAUCAUCUUCUUUUCGUUUUUUUUCCACCAGAAGAAUAAAACCAAAACUCUUGAAUUAACAUCUAAUGUCUGAAUUAUUUGAAUCUACCUUGCAGUAGAUAUAAAAUCAAAUUACAACUUUCAACAACGGAUCUCUUGGUUCUGGCAUCGAUGAAGAACGCAGCGAAAUGCGAUAAGUAAUGUGAAUUGCAGAAUUUUGUGAAUCAUCGAAUCUUUGAACGCACAUUGCACCUUUUGGUAUUCCGAAAGGUAUGCUUGUUCGAGCGUCGUUUAAACUCUAUCAAUUUAAUUAUUGAAUGUCUUGAGUGUUCUGACUAGUAAAAUGGUCACACUUCAAAAAUUGUGAAAGCGAUCUAUGAAUUGGAUUAUUUGACGCAUUAAAUCUUUACUCGUCGAGAAAAUUCAUUUUCUAGAGCAGCCAAAACAAAAUAAACAGCGACCAUAAAACAGUCACUUUUUUUUAUUCAAAAGUCGACCUCGAAUCAAGUAGGAUUACCCGCUGAACUUAA
rnacentral:rRNA from 1 species